rnacentral:rRNA from 1 species
AAGCGUUAUCCGGAAUUAUUGGGCGUAAAGCGCGCGUAGGCGGUUUUUUAAGUCUGAUGUGAAAGCCCACGGCUCAACCGUGGAGGGUCAUUGGAAACUGGAAAACUUGAGUGCAGAAGAGGAAAGUGGAUUCCAUGUGUAGCGGUGAAAUGCGCAGAGAUAUGGAGGAACACCAGUGGCGAAGGCGACUUUCUGGUCUGUAACUGACGCUGAUGUGCGAAAGCGUGGGGAUCAAAC